AGCCGACGCACAUCUUCUCGCGCCUCAACACGUGCUUUCAUAACAAAGAAAAGGGACAAGAAGUUCACAUCGUUUCCUUAGAAAAAAGGUAAAUAUUUCUUAUGUUCUGCAAAGUUUGUAAUUUUUUAAUGUUAUAAUUAACACCUAUUUUUUUUAAGAAAUCGUAAACAGGUAAACAUGGUAAAUAUAACUAUAAAGACAACAUUGCUCAUGUGCUGGCAAACGGUUACAAUGAGGAUACACUGAAAUAAACAUGGCUGCGCCCGUUCAAUCCAUUUUUUUUUCACAUGAAAAUGACACACAGCUAUAUCAUUCGUUAUUUGUUUUUUGUCUAAAUUAAAUCGGUAUGAAUUUAAAUUAAAUAUCUGAAUUCUACUUUUCAACAACAUGUCGAUAUCAAAUGUGUACAUGAUUGCGUACUAUUGGAGGUAUUAAUUAACAUAGGGGGAUCCAGAGGGGGGAAAAGGGGGGGGGGCUUUGUGGGAAAUAUAAUAAAUUAUAUUGGUUGCUUAUAUAGGGAAUCACUGAACAAAACUGUAGCGUCCCCCUUUAGGUCAGUAAGUGAGCCCCCUUACAUAACGUUCUUGAUCUGCCACUGAUUAAUGAUUUGUUUUUGGGGGAGGUACCCCCUGAAUUCCCCCUUACCCUAUGGCUAUAUUGAUUCUACCAGCUACACCUAUUUGUUCUCUUCUUUAAAGUCGCUUGGUUUAGGUGUAAAAGCUUUGUUCAAGAUUGACAGGACUUGAGUAUAAUUUUUUUUUCUGUGUUGCAAAUAUUUUAAGCUGCAUACAUAUAUCUCUUUUCUUUUCCUAAUUCUUACAGUUGCUAUAUAAACUAUAAUAAAGUCUCCAGGUGUUGGGUACAUUAAGAAAACUUAAAGGAGUUAAAAAUUUAAGGGUUAAUCUAAUUAAUUAUAUUAUUUUUAUUUAACAGCAAUUAUAUGGGUAGACAUUCCUUAAAUUCAAAGCUAAAAUACAAAAGAAAGAAGAGAGAACAAAAUCGACAAAAGAAAAAGGAAUCUGUGAAUAUUUCAGGCUAUUUAUUGUUCAUGUGCAAGGUCAUCCUACUGCUUUGCCCCAAGUUCGUCUUCAGAAACUGACCGUACAGUUGACACCUGUUCGCAGACAAUCAUGACAAUUAGCAACCCACCUCAGAAAAGUGUUUAUUCUCACGAUUCUGAAAAAUCCUCUGCUAACCAAGUUAUUUAGUCAGUAAACAAAAAAAUUGAAAAACCUGACCUGGAGACAAAGUUGACCUAUAUCAAUUGUACAUAAGAUUUCAAGAAUAUCAGUUACUUAAAAAUAGAAAGAAACAGACUGAUAUGGCAAAAUUUUGGUAAGUGUAUUACUAUAAGUAUGAAAAAGAAGAUGUGGUAUAUUUGCCAAUGAGACAACUCUCCACAAGAGACCAAAUGACACAGAAAUUAACAACUAUAGGUCACCAUACAGCCUUCAACAAUAAGCAAAGCCCAUACCGCAUAGUCAGCUGUAAAGGGCCCCGAAAUGACAAAUGUAAAACAAUUCAAACGAGAAAACUAACGGCCUUAUUUAUGUACAAAAAAAUGAAUGAAAAAAGUGUAUGGUCAAAGAACAGAAAAUAUUGAAAACAAAACUGAAGUAAAAUUAAAUGGACAUUUGUACAUUUAAAAAUAAAGAACCGAAAAAUGAAUUCAGUUAACCUUUACUUUUUUAAAUGCAAAAUUCAAACUGAAACAACUCAUAUUUUUACGACACAAGGAAUCUUCGUUCCUUUAGGAUUGGAAAGAUGCAUCUGCUGUCUUGAGCCAGUUCUUCUGCUGAGAAGUGAACUUGUGUUGUAUAUUUCAAAAAAAUCCAUAAUAAUUAUUUGUUGUAAUUCAUUGUAUAUGCUGUAUAUGUACAUGUACUUUAAAAGAAACAACCAAAAAGUUAAAUAUUUCAGAAUAUGUGAACAUGGAACAUGUAUAACAAACAAGUGCGUUUGGUUCAAGGUCAGAGUAUAUAGGCAAAAUUUUCCAAAUGAGUCUGUGAAACUAAAGUUUCAUUACACACUUCACUAUCGGUUAUUCUAUUCUAUUCACAUCUUACGUUCUAUCUCUGUAUUUUGCAGAUCUGGGAAGAAGAACCAGGGAACAGGGA
rnacentral:lncRNA from 1 species